rnacentral:rRNA from 1 species
GUUAGGAAUAUUGGACAAUGGGCGAAAGCCUGAUCCAGCCAUGCCGCGUGAACGAUGAAGGCCUUCGGGUUGUAAAGUUCUUUAGCCGAUGAUUAUAAUGACUGUAGUCGGAAAAUAAGCCCCGGCUAACUUCGUGCCAGCAGCCGCGGUAAUACGAAGGGGGCGAGCGUUAUUCGGAAUCACUGGGCGUAAAGCGUGCGUAGGCGGUUUUGUAAGUUAGGAGUGAAAGCCCAGGGCUCAACCAUGGAAUUGCUCUUAAAACUGCAAGGAUCGAAUCUCGGAGAGGAUAGCGGAAUUUCCAGUGUAGCAGUGAAAUGCGUAGAUAUUGGAAGGAACACCAGUGGCGUAAGCGGCUAUCUGGACGAGUAUUGACGCUGAGGCACGAAAGCGUGGGGAUCAAACAGGAUUAGAUACCCUAGUAGUCC